rnacentral:rRNA from 1 species
AAGUCGAACGAGACCUUCGGGUCUAGUGGCGCACGGGUGCGUAACGCGUGGGAAUCUGCCCUUGGGUUCGGAAUAACUUCUGGAAACGGAAGCUAAUACCGGAUGAUGACGUAAGUCCAAAGAUUUAUCGCCUGAGGAUGAGCCCGCGUAAGAUUAGGUAGUUGGUGGGGUAAAGGCCUACCAAGCCGACGAUCUUUAGCUGGUCUGAGAGGAUGAUCAGCCACACUGGGACUGAGACACGGCCCAGACUCCUACGGGAGGCAGCAGUGGGGAAUAUUGGACAAUGGGCGAAAGCCUGAUCCAGCAAUGCCGCGUGAGUGAUGAAGGCCUUAGGGUUGUAAAGCUCUUUUACCCGGGAUGAUAAUGACAGUACCGGGAGAAUAAGCCCCGGCUAACUCCGUGCCAGCAGCCGCGGUAAUACGGAGGGGGCUAGCGUUGUUCGGAAUUACUGGGCGUAAAGCGCGCGUAGGCGGUUCUUCAAGUCAGAGGUGAAAGCCCGGUGCUCAACACCGGAAUUGCCUUUGAAACUAGGGAACUUGAAUCCAGGAGAGGUGAGUGGAAUUCCGAGUGUAGAGGUGAAAUUCGUAGAUAUUCGGAAGAACACCAG